rnacentral:rRNA from 1 species
CAGUAGCCGCGGUAAUACAGAGGGUGCAAGCGUUAAUCGGAAUUACUGGGCGUAAAGCGCACGCAGGCGGUCUGACAAGUCAGAUGUGAAAUCCCCGGGCUUAACCUGGGAACUGCAUUUGAAACUGUCAGGCUGGAGUCUUGUAGAGGGGGGUGGAAUUCCAGGUGUAGCGGUGAAAUGCGUAGAGAUCUGGAGGAAUACCGGUGGCGAAGGCGGCCCCCUGGACAAAGACUGACGCUCAGGUGCGAAAGCGUGGGGAGCAAACAGGAUUAGAUACCCGCGUAGUCCCUGUCUCUUAUAC